rnacentral:rRNA from 1 species
UACGGGGGGGGCAAGCGUUGUUCGGAAUUACUGGGCGUAAAGGGGUUGUAGGUGGCUUGCUAAGUCAGACGUGAAAUCCCUCAGCUUAACUGGGGAACUGCGUCUGAGACUGGCGAGCUUGAGUGCAGGAGAGGAACGCGGAAUUCCAGGUGUAGCGGUGAAAUGCGUAGAUAUCUGGAGGAACACCGGUGGCGAAGGCGGCGUUCUGGACUGCAACUGACACUGAGAAACGAAAGCCAGGGGAGCAAACGGG